UACGGAGGGAGCUAGCGUUGUUCGGAAUUACUGGGCGUAAAGCGCGCGUAGGCGGCUUUGUAAGUUAGAGGUGAAAGCCCGGGGCUCAACCCCGGAACUGCCUUUAAGACUGCAUCGCUUGAAUCCAGGAGAGGUGAGUGGAACUGCGAGUGUAGAGGUGAAAAUUCGUAGAUAUUCGCAAGAACACCGGUGGCGAAGGCGGCGACCUGGUCCAUUACUGACGCUGAGGCGCGAAAGCGUGGGGAGCAAACAGG
rnacentral:rRNA from 1 species